AGUGAACGCUGGCGGUAGGCCUAACACAUGCAAGUCGAACGGCAGCACAGUAAGAGCUUGCUCUUACGGGUGGCGAGUGGCGGACGGGUGAGGAAUACAUCGGAAUCUACUUUUUCGUGGGGGAUAACGUAGGGAAACUUACGCUAAUACCGCAUACGACCUACGGGUGAAAGCAGGGGAUCUUCGGACCUUGCGCGAUUGAAUGAGCCGAUGUCGGAUUAGCUAGUUGGCGGGGUAAAGGCCCACCAAGGCGACGAUCCGUAGCUGGUCUGAGAGGAUGGAUCGGCAACCUGGGACUGAGGAAAGGUCCCGACUCCUACGGGAAGCCGCAGUGGGGAAUAUUGGGCAAAGGGGGGAAGCCUGAUCCAGCCAUACCGCGUGGGUGAAGAAGGCCUUCGGGUUGUAAAGCCCUUUUGUUGGGAAAGAAAAGCAGCAGGUUAAUACCCCGCUGUUCUGACGGUACCCAAAGAAUAAGCACCGGCUAACUUCGUG
rnacentral:rRNA from 1 species